rnacentral:rRNA from 1 species
AUUGAACGCUGGCGGCAGGCUUAACACAUGCAAGUCGAGCGGGGAAAGGUAGCUUGCUACCUGACCUAGCGGCGGACGGGUGAGUAAUGCUUAGGAAUCUGCCUAUUAGUGGGGGACAGCAUCUCGAAAGGGAUGCUAAUACCGCAUACGUCCUACGGGAGAAAGCAGGGGACCUUCGGGCCUUGCGCUAAUAGAUGAGCCUAAGUCGGAUUAGCUAGUUGGUGGGGUAAAGGCCUACCAAGGCGACGAUCUGUAGCGGGUCUGAGAGGAUGAUCCGCCACACUGGGACUGAGACACGGCCCAGACUCCUACGGGAGGCAGCAGUGGGGAAUAUUGGACAAUGGGGGGAACCCUGAUCCAGCCAUGCCGCGUGUGUGAAGAAGGCCUUUUGGUUGUAAAGCACUUUAAGCGAGGAGGAGGCUACCGAGAUUAAUACUCUUGGAUAGUGGACGUUACUCGCAGAAUAAGCACCGGCUAACUCUGUG